AUGCUAAUCGAUCCUGUGUGCGGCGGCCGGACGCAUCGCGAAGCAACCAAGAAAAUCCCCACCCGUGUGACUUUCUCUUCCUCCACGCCUGGGCCUCAUCCUUCUCCCUCCCUGCCGCCUUGGAGCUCCGGCGCCCCGCACUCCGUCUUGCCGGCCGGCGGCGGCUCUGGCAGGCGGCGCAAAGCCACCAGAUUCAUGGCCAAGUCCGGUGCCCGUAAGGACGCCGCGCAAGUCCGGCCAUCGGCCACCUCGCCGCCGCCGCAGCACUCCCCCGGCGCCACAGCAAGCUCGUUCGCCAGCCGCUCUCCACAGCUUCUCUUCUACCCCGGCGCCCCGACAAGAUCCUCGGCCAGCCCCUCGACACCGCCACACCUGUACCCGCCUCUCAUGGAAUCCUCCUCAGCCAACCCUACAUGGAGGCCGAUGUAUACCUCUGCACCUGAAGGCCUGCUAAGUUUUGGACAAUUACCGCCCAUGAAUCCUUACAAUUUUCAACCUCAGCCAAUGCACCAUCAUGAACAAGGAUACCAAAAUAUGGAGAAUUUGCACUUUGUUGGUGCUUCCCCACAUGAUCCCUUUUCAACACCACCGCCACCACCGCACUCUAAUGUUUCAUCUCAGUCUGCUCCCACCAAAGUUGAUUCAAAGAAAAAGAAAAGGAAGGUCAAGAGUGUAGAUGCCGACGAAUCGGGAGCAAGGACCGCAUAUCGUCUGCCCUAUACACCCGAGGAACAUGAGAGACUGGUAAGGAUAUUCGUUGCUCAAAUCCGUUUAGUUGCAUAUAAUUUCUUGUUUGUUGUUGGCCUCAACUGA
rnacentral:rRNA from 1 species